GCAUGAUAGUAAACAAAAUUGAAUUUUGUAUCUAUUGGUAUAGGUUUUUAAACAAAAUAAACGCGGGAACUUUACGAAACGUGGUAUUGAAAACUGCCGACCAUAAUUAUCACCCGCAGUUACGCGCAGUUUUCUGUACUGCUAUCGCUAGCAAACGCCAGUUUUUGUAUUUGAUUGGUUUAACGGCGUUUCUUUUACUGAUUGAGAACACUUUUAAGUUUCAAGCUAUUCAGCAUGGCUUUGGAUUCAACUCAAGGCGCUCAAGGCUACAAACAUUUUCAAAUUUAAUGAAUUUUUUGUUGGAUUUGUUUUUGAUAGGCCUCGGAACCGGAAACGGAUUUUGAAAAGUAUUUUUAUUGUGAGUUUAUCUGUGCCGGGUGGGGUGGAUUUGUGUCAAGUUUCUUUUCUGUGGUUAGUUCAUAUUCAAAUGAGUUGAGAUACAAAUCAAAAUAGUUUUUAUAUUGAUUUGCCAUCAGGAUUAUUAGGUAGGUACCUAUCCUACGAAGUAUGUAGUCUACCUGAAGUCAAGUCUAUAUAAACCCCUCACCCAGAUUCAUUUUGGUCCUCUGCUCUCUUGUUGCCAUGAUCCUGAUCUUCUCCUUCUCUUCUGCGUCUCAAUCUCCUGCUUCCCAUGAGCAACCCGCUCCCUUUGCCUCUUUCCUUUCUACUUUGGUAAGCAUCUACUUUGGUAAGCAUCUUCAGGUUGAGACCCUGCUGUGGUUGGCCAUUUCGAGUUGUGCUUUUGGAGCUUGCAGCAAUGCGUGUUUCAAGUAACUCACCAGAAAAGAUGAUGCUCUGAGAAUGAAUAAAAGCCCACAAAUUCCUGUAAUUGACAAGUUACAUGGAUAAGUUUGAGUUAUUAUAUCAUUAAAAAAGUCUUGCAAUGUGUGUAGCGAAUAGCGAUCAUGAAGUACAUGCCCUCCGCGGGCUUUGUCCACCUCUCCCAAACAUCCACCCUGCUAAGGGUUGGACAGACAACUAUCCGAUGGGGGAAGCCUGGAGGUUCCCCCAGGGUCCAAUCCUAUAAAAUGUCUUACUAUUCUAUUCACAGCAUUUGGUAACAUUUAUGGUGCUGUCAGUGCUGAGUCUGGGUGAUUGAGUCUUGACAACUCACCUCAACCUGGGUGUCUGCCCAGACCAAUGUUUCCUCAUAAUGUCUCCAGGUCUCCACUGCUCUCCUUGCCUGUUUCAGCUGUCUACCCCUGCACGCCUGAUUCCUGACUCCCUCUCUCAUUCGCUUUACCCAGGUUUUGCCAAUGUUCUGAGUGUGCAGUUGCUGCUUUUUGGUGCGCACACACCCCAGACUCUCCAUCCAAUUAACGCCUGAACAGUUGCUGAAAGUGCCUCCCACCAGACUUGCUGAAUGGCUACUACUUGCAUAUGCUAUCUGGAGUGUAGCUUCCCCAACUAGCUGCCAUGGCUCUCGGCAGCUGGGCUUAAUAGGUCACAGGUCAAAGUUCAUUUGGGUCAGGUUCAUAAAAUGUCAAGGACAUGUGUAAAAUUGAUCAACUGGAGGGUACUGAAAGUUUCGUCGCAAUCGGCGUCUUUUUUAUGCGAGUUAUGAGUUAUCCGCGAAAAACCGAGGAGGGGUCCGUUCGACCCCCCCCCCCCCAUACGGGCGAGGGUUAGGCCACAUUCGGAAAGUCAAGCUACAUCUAGCUAGGCACAUCAGCCUAUCACGAGCGUUUGACUAGUAAAAUAUAGACAUUUGCAGCCUUUUUUGACGUUGAAUAAGCUGAUUUAGUUAUAGGUCGUCAAUCGUCAUUAUGUGCCUGCCGCCGCUUUUGUCGUCUUCAUUGUGUGCUUUGUGGUUUUUUAGUUUUGAUCAUAUCAUCCUCCAUCAGGCUUGUUUCUGGCGGUGGUUCUGGAGACAGCGUGUCGAUCCAGCUGUAGAACGUCAUCCGGAGGUGGCAGAGUGUGAUGGCCAGCCACGCGGCGCGCGUAUCGACAUUGACUAUCACAUCAUCUCCAGGUCACUGGUCGAGGGCGCUCGAGCUGACGGUGUCUUCCGACGGCUCCACGGUGACCAGCGCCGCCACCGCCGAGACCAUCCGACUCCUGAAAUGCUAACGGCCGUGCACGAACAAGAGGCUCUAAGCAUCCAGGUGCAAGGCAAGCGCCAUGCUCAGAGGUGUCAUCCGAAGAAGGCCGCACAGUGCACUUUAGGGUGAGCUCGGGUGUAGUGCGCGCCGACGGAUAGGAUGAAAUGACGGGCCGGCCAUCAGAUUUCAGUGCGGGGAUCAAGAUGGUCGGAGCCGAUGUGGCUCGGUUGAUGGUGUGGCAGGGUUGAUUGAGAGUGAAAGCGAGACACCCGGAUCUGUGAAGAAUACGCCGAUACGGGUCUCGAACGUCGUCUCGCAAUUUGUGCUCUGUAAUAUGACGGCUAUGCCGUGGUAUCAUUCACUCUCGGUGCGCUAAUAAAUAAUAAAUAGGACAGAGGCUGGAAUUAAGAUAUUAUAUUUGGAUGUAAGGGGCAGGUUUGGGCCAGCGCUAUAUUAGAAAUCGUGAGCGUGCUAGUUGCAAUCAAUCGCGCGCUUCUUGUUGAGCAUCUGUGAGCGAGAAAAUACUUUCUCUGGAACUUAGCAGUUCGUCGUGAAAUAUUUGAAUUGUAUCUUUGGAGUAAGUUGUCAGAACAUGAAUGCAUUUUUGGUGUCCACUGCAGCUGCUGUUCUGGAACAGAAACAUGCCGAGAUCGGCUGUGUAUGUAUGUUGUGGCAAAAUCAAGCAGCCGUACCAUGAAUCAAAAGCGAUAUGUGAAUUAAAGUGAAUAUAUUUCACUAUUUUUCAGUUUUAUCAUACAGAUCACAGAAAUGCGUCAAAUACUGAUCACACCCGGUUCCAAACAAAAACGCUUGCGAUCACUGGAAAAUAAAUAAACAAUAGAUACCCA
rnacentral:lncRNA from 1 species